rnacentral:lncRNA from 1 species
AUGCAAACAGAGCUCUCAUUCUUUUCUCUGUUUUUUUUUUUUUUUUUUUUUUUAAGGGCUGCACCCACAGCUUAUGGAAGUUCUCAAGCUAGGGUCAAAUCAGAACUGCAGCUGCCGUCCUAUACCACAGCUACAACAACGUGGGAUCCGAGCUGUGUCUGUGACCUACACCGCUUGCGUCAACACUGGAUCCUUAACCUGAGCGAGACCAGGGAUCAUACCCGCAUCCUCAUGGAUACCAGCUGCUGACUUGGACCCCUGUGAGCCGGAGCGUGUGGGCCAUGGAUUCUAAGGUCAGAUGGUGCGGUUGUCCUGGAAGAAGGCUUUGGGGACACGGGUGGCUGAGGCCUUGCAGAAGGAGCCUCACAUCCAUAGCGGGGGAUGACGAUGACAAGCUUGUGGCAUCUCCCCACCUCCUCCUGCACCUAUACCUGGCCACCCCCUGGAUAGGCCAGGAGACUUUCCUAAGCUUGGUGCCUGCUCUGUGAGUCCUGAGCAGCAAGCAGCCCCGUACCUGCAAGGGCCUCAGUCUGGACUUUACCAGCGUCCUUCUCAGGAGGUGGGGACCCUGGUGGCCAAGGGUCUCAGAUGUCAUGAGCUCUAGCGAAACAUCCGGUCUUGAACAGAAGAGAUUUCAGGAGCUGCCCUAGUGGGAACAGGCCAGUCCUCAGGGCUGAAAUGCCAUUUGGUGCCCCUGCUCCUGUGCCCUCCUGGCAGGACCCCUGCUGCCUUCCCUGGUCCUGUUUCCUGAUGACUUGUCAGUGAGGAAGGAGGACAGGAUUGCUCCCAGGGCUUCUCUUUUCCUUUCUUUUCCUUCAAGCUGAGAAACCCGAGACAGGAGUGUCCAUAGUUGUAGUUGCUGGUGAGACAUCUAUUUCCUCUUCCCCUCCCUGCAACAGAAUUGUCAUCCUGCUAUCAAUUUUUCUGACUUUGAAAUUUUUUUCCAGUUUUUAAAAAUUAGUAAAAAUAUACAUUGGCACGACAUUUACUGUUUUAGCCUGUUUUAAGUGUUCAGCUUAGUGGCAUUCAGCACUGUACCCCUGGCCCCAUCACUCCACUUUCUUUCUCUGGGAAUUCGACACUUCAGGGACCACACAGGUGCUAGGGCUUGUGUAGUGUGUGUCCUCUUAUGUCUGGCAUAUUUCACUGAGCAUAAUGUCUCAGGUUUGGGUUUAUUACUGUUGCUUGGCACUAAUUUCACAGGCUUUGAGCACUAAGAUUCUUAUCACAAAGCUUUCCACUGUUUUCU